CGCGAUUCUCGUUUGUUUUUUCCACUUGAUUAUAUUCUCGUCAGCCUCUCUACAUCGUAUUUAUAUACAUAUAGAAAUAUGCACGUGCUGUACAGACAUUAAGUCGAGAGAGCGUCGGCGCGACUUCCAGUUCUCUGCACAUCGACAGGAACUUCUCGCGAUCAGUGCUCGAGCUCGACUGCUAAUUCCCGUGCAUACGAAUAAGUGAACGCCCAGUGCACACACGUGGAGAACAAAUUAGUUGAGUGGGUUCUGCGAGAGUUCGUUCAGAGAUCAGCGUCGUGAUGCUGGACUCGGGAAGAUAUCCGCGUUGUUCGAAGGUUCGUCAGUUUUUCAAUUCAGUAAAUCACCGAACGGAUUGCGCCGAAAGUUUGACGGGAUGAAAAAUCGCGUUUCCGACUUCGUUCCUGGUUUUACGGAAUUCCGAAACUAAUGAGCUUUUUCGAAAACGUAGAAAAAAUCGAGUGUUCAGUAGUUUCCGAAAUUCUCAUGUGCCAAGAAAGCGAAUUACUAAUUUGAGGAGCACUUGAAAAUGAGCUGUGAAUUGUACAGCGAUUCGAAUAAUUGAUGAACAGUUCAAAGAUCCUGAAUAUUUUUUCUGACUGUUACAUUUUAAAAAAAGUCAGAAAAAUCGUAUUUUACAUUGAAAAAUCGAUGCGAGCCGGGCCCGUAAGCAGAGCUACUCUACUGCAAAUGCGUUGUUCGCAACUCCAACUUCCCGGGCACAGUCGGCAUAAAAAGCUGCGACACUUGUUCCGGGUUGACAUCGAGCCACCGCGCGGUGAGUCGCUAAUUAACUCUCCGGAAGAAAAAAGGUAAUUUUUUCGAUGUUGGAAUAUGGUUUGCGCGAAGCCGCGUUCAAUUUUCCAAUUCGAUUAAAAAUAACCCGAGUUUGUUUAGGCAGUCUGGUUUUGACAGAUUAUUUUGCGUUUCUCGAUCACCCGCUGUUGAGCGUUUUCAUCUCUGGAUGAGCGACUUUCGAGAAAGUUGUGACGUCGUCGCUGAUCCACCCAUGCGUUCGAAGGCAAAAUAAAUUCCACGAGUUUCGGGAAACUCCACUCUCAUUAUCCCAUGACCAUUGAAAAUAAAUGUCAAACCCACCAAAUUGAAAAAAUGUAUUUUAUGGCCAGUGUAUUUUCGGUACCGUAAAACUCAUUUGUUAGUGUUAAAUUUGGCAACGAAUUCGAUUUAAUCGUUACGCCGGAGCUCUCUACGGUUCGUAUAUUUGUUGCCGUUCGGCAGCGGAGUCCGCUGAUACUAUCACGAUUCCAUAUCGAAUGAAUUACGCUAAUACGGAGCUAUGUAAAUGCAACGCGAUGGGUCAAUGACCAAAAAGUUCAUUUGAACCGAGUACUAAUUAUUUUUUCCCAGCUCCCCGAUGCGAUUUACCCGUUGGAAGGAAUAAAACAGAGUAUCAAAACGAAAUAUUCGUUUAGUCGAAUGCCCCUCUAACUCUCCGCAUAUCAAUGAGCGUUACGAAACUUUAAUUCCAUUCGCGAACGAUUUUCACCGCUCGUAUAUCAGCUAUCGAAAAUUAAACGUGCCUCCGGUUAUUAUGAGCCUCUAAUUAUUCGAUAACGCGUGGCUCAGAUCGCUUAUGCGUGCGUAAUUACAUCGUUCCUAACCAGCUUUUUGUUCGACCAAUAAAAUCUCUUUUUCGUGUGUUCCGUUGUGGAAGUUCAUUUUAAUCACGCGCUGCCUACAAAUACAAAGAGCCUAAUUAUGCGCCGCAGCUUCGAUGUACGAAGGCUCGAAAAUGUGUACAUCGAUCGAUUUUUCUUCGUUCAUGAUCCAAUAGGCAUAUCGCAUACACGCUCGCGUGAAAAACUGUGUUCGAUGUUUUUUAUUUUGGACACUCUUCUUCUGCUGUUUUUAAAACCGCUCGGAAGUUUAUAAAAUUCUCCACGCUCCGCGGAGACAUGAUGAAAAAACUGGCAAUGGACUCGCGCUUGGAGGUAACGAAAGCACGCGAGAAGGGAUCACGGUUCGUAGUGAGCCACUGAACUUAUACGUCAGCGAAGCGACGCUUGACCGUUACGAGAAUUUUGAAACAGUUGACGCAAAAAAUCAAGGGGGGUUGACUUUUUUGAUCGUCGGGGGCCUACGGAUGGGGGAAAAGCACCAAACGAAUGAACCUCGGUCCAUUUCAAUCGUAUUCUUUCGAGCGUAUUUUUAUAGCAGUUGCGGACCCCGCUGUAUCAACGGCCGUAUGUAAAUACUCUUUCAAUUGAAUUUUUCCACGAGAGUGAACCUUUUUGAGUGGUGGAGAAUAAAAACUGAACAUUCGCGUGCACCGACUCGACACGAAGCCAUUUAAGAGGAUUGCGUUUCCGAUUGAAGUCAAUUACAGUCAAUUGUCAACGUGUUAAUCAACGUUACUUUUCUGUUUGCUCGUUUUGUAUUGGUAACUCGAUCAGUUCCGACAUAAUAAACGUGGAUGAAGCGUGUGCGGUUUUGAGAUUAUAUUCCUUCAUUUGAUUUUGUUACUCGAUACAUUUUCGUCAACGACUUUGUAUUAUGAGCUAUAAGCUUUUGUUUCACACGAGUGUCGCGACCAAGUUUACAGGAAACAUAACCCCUCAAAGCAAAACUGACUCAGCUCAAGCAGUUUUCGAUCGCUCGAAAUUGAGUCGUUGUAAAACUUUAUGAAAUCCUAACAAAAUGUGAACACUGACUUUGUUGCGUUUCGAUACCGAGCAGUUAAUUCAUAUUUUUUUCAAAUGCCCAAGAAACGAAAAUUUCAACAAGCCUCGCGCGAAGCACGGUAAAUAAAAAUUCCGAUACUCGUACUCGAUUUUUUUUCAAAUUUAUUUCAUAACCGCAUGACGAAUAUAUUUACUAUUGGAAAUUCUCACUCUCGAUCGUAUUGAAUACGAAUUUUCACUCAUGAGAAAAAGCAUCUGCUUUGUAAAAAAUAUUCGCAUAAUUGAACGCACGAAUGCGCACACGUUCAUUUUUCGACUCGAAUUAGCGACGAAAAGGUUAUGUGACUGUAUUCUCUCACGUCGAUAAAUAGCGCGUUCGAAGCCGGAUAAAAACUCUCAAAGUUGCUUUUGAAAGAACCAGGGGAAAAAAAUUUACCACAUAGCAGAACAUCUGUUCAAAUCGUUCAUAUAAAUCUGUAAUGAUCAUAAAUAAUAACAAAUUUCUUGAUGAAAUAAACUGUGACGUGUUAUGAUCGACAGGGGUUACGGAAAAGUAUAUGAGAUCUCGCUCUGCGGCUUCUAAAGAUUGCGACGAGUUCAUCGAUAUUUUGAUAAACACAGACAUCCCGCGAGGGUAUUAUGAGAAUGAAAUUACUUAUCAUCCGGAAUCCGGACUGCACGAGAUGUCAGCAGAUCGAAAAAUGCGUGUACGACACUCGAUCCUAUAAACAACUGCAUUUAUGAUCGACGUGUAUUAUUAUGUAAUUUCAGUCAGCGUCUCGUCGCUCGGCGGUAUAUCUACAAUAUUGUAGUGAACUCAAAGAAACAACGAAUUCCACACGGAAUCACUUGAUUUUUGCACUGCUUGCAUUUAUGAAUCCUGCACAAACUGAAUUUAACUUUAAACUGAAUUCUGCAAAAAAUAUCUUUUCACCGGUGAAAUCUGACUUUAAUUCUGAUUUUCGAAGACGUUGAUGCGGUCAUUUUGAGGUUGGAAAAAAAAUAACUCGAAAUUGGAUCUGACAAUGGGAACGGAUUUGUUGAUCGUGAAAUAUUUGAGUUGGUGGAAGUUGUUUUGAGUACAAAAACAAAAAAAAAUUCUUUGUCUUUUCGUUCGUUUGCUGCUGCAUCAUUCGAUUACGAACCUUCCGAUUUAUAACGAAAGACCACAUCAGUCGUCAAUUCUAUUUACACUCCAUCUAUAUUGAUUGACCGAGCAGAAAAAAGUUCGUAUGAUAUUUUCAAACGCAAACUCAGGAACUAGUGAAACGUGAUGACACGAAGAUGGAUUGUGAUUAAAAAUAGUUUCAUUCCGUACAUAAAAGGGAGAAAACAUUGUUACUCUACAGCUCUCUAGCGCGGAAAUAUUUCUCGCGGAACUCGAAAGUCGAAAACACUUGUCCUGCCAUCUGGAAGAUCUCUCGUGAACUUUCAGUGCAAUCUUCCCUCUCUCUUCUUAGGAGGGCCGGCACAUUUUCAAUGUGUGCCGGUGGAAUCACGUGAGGCGAAAUUUCAAUGAGAGCAUGUUCUGAUGUCAACAAACAAAACUGAAACUUUUUCUGCUUUUUGACCACUCAAGUUCUGGAGAAUUAGGAGAAUUCCAUGAAUAUUAUUCAUUGAUAAAUUUAUUACUUUCCUGCUGUCAUCUGUUCAACGAUUUAACCAAUAAACGAAAUCGUUUACUACCGGAAAUCAUUCGACCGCGAUGUCAUUACCAGCUACCGUCAAUCCUGCAGUUGUUCGCAUGCAACUGAGUAAAAACAUCGAAAACUUUUACGACGAUGAAAUAUCAGAAAAUAUAAAAAUUAUCGUGAUACCGUUCGCAACUUUCAUAUGCGAAAUCUUUUUGAGUAAUUUAUGAAUAGUAUUAAUAAACGUCACUUGUUACCAUGUACCAAAGUAGCAAGUAAAAGUGGAUGUAAAAUUCAUAUUUUUUUAAAGAAAUUCACACGAAUCUGAUGGAAAAUAAAAAAUUUUGAUUCGGAGUAAAAUUUCGAGAGAGAAAAUGUUAGAUCAGUAUUUAUUGUAAAGUAGAAUGCAUCGACUGCUUACAAAAAUCCUGUUCCCUUUUGUGUGAGAACGUUAAUGCACGUUUUACGCAUCAGAUGUGAACCACAUGAUAGCAGUUGUACAGGAAUUGUUUGAAAAACGGUGAUGACGACGAUCGACUACGCGGUGAUGAAAGAAUCUUCCAGAGAGUCAUGACGCAUCAGCGUUUGUUUGUAAGCCCUCAGCAUUUUUUCUUAUCAAUUUUCGUUGCGCAGAAAGAGAAAUGAGAGCUUGAAUUAAAUACAAUACUCAAGAGAGCAGUAUCAGCACGAUAUUUAGACGGAAAGUCGAAACUGACGAUCCGGCAUGUUAUUUUUCAUGCUCCGAGCGACACGAUUCCGCAUGUCGACGAAAGUUUCGAAUGACAGUGUUUUUCUUUCAUUAACAAGAUUUUUGAAAAGCCAUGCAGUUUCGUGAUAUAAAGAGGAUUAGUUUCAAUGUUUGAUUUACUGAAUUUACGAAUUGAAGAACGAAGAUUUUUUCGUCGUGUAGGUACAGGAAAUGAAGGAAUAGAAAGGUCGAUUGCAAUGAGCACAAAUCUUUUAUUGAAUCAAAUAUUUGACGUCGUUGC
rnacentral:lncRNA from 1 species